AGCGAACGUUUGCGGCGGGCUUAACACAUGCAAGUCGAACGAGAAUCCCUUCGGGGAGGAAAGUGGCGCACGGGUGCGUAACACGUGGAUAACCAACCCAUUGGUUUGGGACAACACCGGGAAACUGGUGCUAAUACCAGAUGUGUCGCAGCUGUCUUCAGGCGGUUGCGAGAAAGGCCCGCAAGGGUCGCCAACGGACGGGUCCGCGUCCCAUCAGCUAGUUGGUGAGGUAAUGGCUCACCAAGGCAAAGACGGGUAGCUGGUCUGAGAGGAUGAUCAGCCACACUGGAACUGAGACACGGUCCAGACUCCUACGGGAGGCAGCAGUGGGGAAUAUUGCGCAAUGGGCGAAAGCCUGACGCAGCCACGCCGCGUGAGCGAUGAAGGUCUUCGGAUCGUAAAGCUACUGUGGGGGGAGAAGAAGAAAGCCGGUGAAGAGCCGGCCUGACGGUAUCCCCUUAGCAAGCACCGGCUAACUCCGUGCCAGCAGCCGCGGU
rnacentral:rRNA from 1 species